rnacentral:rRNA from 1 species
UACGAGUGCCUCAAGCGUUAUCCGGAAUCAUUGGGCGUAAAGGUUGUGUAGGUGGUUGUAUUAGUCUCUUGUUAAAUUCUUCGGCUUAACCGGGGGCAUGCAAGGGAAACGGUACAACUCGAGGAUGCGAGGGGUCUGCGGAACUCAGUAGUGUAGCGGUGAAAUGCGUUGAUAAUUAUGGGGAACACCAAAAGCGAAGGCAGCAGACUGGAGCACUCCUGAGCACUGAAACCAAGA